UUAACAUUAUCGAAUGACGAUGGCAACUUAAAAAAGAUUAAGAUGACCAAAGACUAGGCUGUAUGGGUUAAGUUCCCUUUGCAUGCCUUAUGUUUUAAAGUGGUGUAUAGGCCACGUCAAUGAUAUUGAAAUGAUGUUCAGAUCUUCUGGGUUCAAAGUCCAACUUGGAUGUCUAUCUUCAAGGGCUACCUGGGGAUUUCCCCAUUAAGAUCAUGUUGUGUUUACACUCGGAGUAAUUGUCUUCUACAUCUACAUCAUGCUUUUCGUCUAGGACCUGCUAUCCAGCGGUUUGCUUCAUGAUUUUGCCUAAGACCUGCCGUCCAGGCACUUAAUAUAUCACUUUUUGGGUGAAACUUUAGCGUUUAAGUGGUUUGACUAAUCUUUGCUUGAUUGUAAUAACAGGAUUAUUCCUAAAUUUGUGUUAUCAUGAAAUAACCUAGACGUGCUAAACUCUUUCCUGUACUUAUAAGAAGAAGUAAUGUUAAUAUACAUUUUUUAAAA